CCUACGGGUGGCAGCAGUGGGGAAUAUUGGACAAUGGGGGGAACCCUGAUCCAGCCAUGCCGCGUGUGUGAAGAAGGCCCUCGGGUUGUAAAGCACUUUCAGUGAGGAAGAACGCCUGGUGGUUAAUACCCAUCAGGAAAGACAUCACUCACAGAAGAAGCACCGGCUAACUCCGUGCCAGCAGCCGCGGUAAUACGGAGGGUGCGAGCGUUAAUCGGAAUUACUGGGCGUAAAGCGCGCGUAGGUGGCUUGAUAAGCCGGUUGUGAAAGCCCCGGGCUCAACCUGGGAACGGCAUCCGGAACUGUCAAGCUAGAGUGCAGGAGAGGAAGGUAGAAUUCCCGGUGUAGCGGUGAAAUGUGUAGAGAUCGGGAGGAAUACCAGUGGCGAAGGCGGCCUUCUGGACUGACACUGACACUGAGGUGCGAAAGCGUGGGUAGCAAACAGGAUUAGAUACCCCUGUAGUC
rnacentral:rRNA from 1 species